CCUCUCUGCUCCCUCUGUUCAUUAGUAUGCUGCAUUUGAACGGAGGCAGACACGGGGAGAGACAAGUAACCGGUCAGAAAUUUAUUUAAUAUGAGGAGUAAGCUGACAAUUUUAAAACCAGGACCUUAAACCUUCUUGGAUCUUCUUCCCGCUCUGGAUAUUUCCCUUAACUUAACGGUGUCGGAGGAAUAUUUCCCCUUAACGGUAGAUUCCUGUGUGAGAUAUUUUGCCAUUAACGGUCAUUUUUUCCAGAGCGAGCAUAAAACCAUACCUGGCUCAGGUCUCAUGUAGCCUUUACUCGCGUUGUAUGUAGCUAGCUAAGCCGGUGGACGCUGAAAAAUAUUAUAUGUGAGGUUUUUAACAAAAAAUGUAAUCCAUUUUCCUCCCCAUGAGGUAGCCAAGCAGCAGUUGGCAUCUGAAACAGCUGGGUCGUGUCGAGAAGAUUGUGGAUUAACGUUUUUUUUCUUUCCUGUCAACGAAAAUCUCCAAGAAACCCCCUCGGUUUUUUCAGUGGCCAAAAUGAGUGUCGAUUUAAUUGAAUCAACUACAUGAGUGGAGACAAAACAAACACACAUUUCUCCCACGGAGUGCUCAUUUUUUAAAACAGCGCCAGUCGCCCCUGGAAAAUAUGGAAAGCGAGGUUUUCUCCCCUUUGCUGGAGCAGUUUAUGCUCACGCCUCUGGUCUGCUGGGUGAAGACAGUCGGGCAGGCGACACUGACCGAUGGCACCCAAUUAUCGGAAUAUAUUGAAUUAGUGGAUGGGAUUUACCUGAACGAGAUAAUGCUUGAGAUAAAUCCUAAGGCCACGGUGCAGAGGACCAACAAGAAGGUGAACAAUGACCCCACGCUGCGCAUCCAGAACCUUUCUAUUCUCAUCAGGCAGAUUAAAGGCUAUUAUCAGGAGAUUCUACAGCAGCUGGUGAUGAUGCCUUUACCAAACGUGCUGGUAUUGGGCCGGAACCCUCUGUCUGAGCAAGGUCUGGAGGAGAUGAAAAAGCUGUUGCUGCUGCUACUAGGCUGUGCUGUCCAGUGCGAGAAGAAGGAGGACUACAUUGAGCGUAUCCAGACUCUGGACUUUGACACCAAAGCUGCCAUAGCAUCCCAUAUCCAAGAGGUGACUCAUAAUCAGGAGAAUGUGGUGGACAUGCAGUGGUUGGAGAGUGGGGAAGUGCCUCCUGAUGACCUGGACAGCCUCUCCAGAAACCUGGCUUUCCACCUCAAACGCCUGGUGGAUGAGCGGGACACACAGUUGGAGACUAUAGUGGAGUUAACCCAGGAGAGAGACUGUGUGCAGCUGUCUCCACUGGCUCCCUGUCCGACCCAGUCCCCUGGUGACUCCCCCAGUAUGAGGAGGACAGAAAGCCGUCAGCACCUCUCUGUGGAGUUGGCUGAUGCCAAGGCCAAGAUCAGACGCCUGCGACAGGAACUAGAGGAGAAGAGUGAGCAGCUUUUGGACACCAGACAAGAGCUUGAAAACAUGGAAGUGGAGCUCAAGAAGAUUCAGCAAGAGAGCUACCAGUUGCUGUCAGAUGCUCGGUCAGCUCGGGCCUACCGUGACGAGCUGGAUGCACUGAGAGAGAAGGCGAUCCGUGUCGACAAACUGGAGAGCGAACUGACCCGAUACAAGGAGAGACUUCACGACAUCGAGUUUUACAAAGCCAGAGUCGAGGAACUGAAGGAGGACAACCAGAUCUUGUUGGAAACAAAGAGCAUGUUGGAGGAGCAGUUAGAUUCUAGCCACACACGCUCAGACAAGCUGCAUCUUCUGGAGAAAGAAAGUCUGCAACUCAAAUCCAAGAUCCAUGACCUGGAGAUGGAGCGGGACAUGGACCGUAAACGUAUGGAGGAGCUGUUGGAGGAGAACCUUGUGCUGGAGAUGGCCCAGAAACAGAGCAUGGACGAGUCCCUGCACCUGGGCUGGGAACUGGAGCAACUGUCAAAGACACCAGAUCUGACCGAAGCCCCUCAGAAGUCUCUGGGUGAGGAGGUGAAUGAGUUGACGUCGAGCCGCCUGUUGAAGCUGGAGAAGGACAAUCAGACCCUGCUGAAAACUGUAGAGGAGCUCAGAGGAGCAGCCAGUCAGGAUACUGUGGCAAAACUGGCCAAAGUCAGCCAGGAAAACCAGAGACUAAACCAUAAACUGGAGCAGCUGGACAGUGAACUGACAUCAGACAGAGAGUCGCUGCGCAGCGCUGAAUCACUCAGUACUGACCUGAUGAAGGAGAAGGCUUUACUGGAGAAGACUCUGGAAACACUCAGAGAAAACUCUGAGAGACAGUUGAAGGGUUUGGAGCAGGAGAACAAGCACCUGAGCCAGACGGUGUCGUCUCUGCGUCAGCGCUGCCAGGUUGGCGCUGAGGCCCGGGUUAAAGAUGUGGAGAAAGAAAAUCGUGUUCUCCACGAGUCCAUCUGCGAGACAACGGCCAAACUCAAUAAGAUGGAGUUUGAAAGGAAACAACUACGUAAGGAGCUCGAAGUGGUGAAGGAGAAAGGAGAGAGAGCAGAAGAGUUGGAGAUGUUGAUGCAGAAGCUAGAAAGGGAGAACGAGAGCCUGCAGAAGAAAGUUGCCAGUCUUGGAAUCACCUGUGAAAAGGUGUCUUCCUUGGAGAAGGAGAAUAGUGAGCUGGAGGUGGAGGGCCGUCGUCUGAAGAAGAAGCUGGACACUCUGAAGAACAUGGCGUACCAGCUGGAGGCUCUGGAAAAGGAGAACUCCCAGCUGGAGCACGAAAACCUGGAGCUUCGGCGCUCGGCUGAAAGUCUCCGGUCAGCGGGGGCUAAGGCCGCUCAGCUGGAAGCAGAGAACAGGGAGCUGGAGAGCGAGAGGAGCCAGAUGAAGCGCAGCCUGGAACUGCUCAAAGCCUCAUCCAAAAAGACAGAGAGAUUAGAGAUGAGUUACCAGGGCCUAGAUACAGAGAACCAGCGCCUGCAGAAGGCGUUAGAGAACAGCAGCAAGAAGAUUCAACAAUUGGAGGCAGAGCUGCAAGAGGUAGAGACUGAGAAUCAAACCCUCCAACGCAACCUGGAGGAGCUCAAGAUCUCCAGUAAACGCCUAGAGCAGCUGGAGCAGGAGAACAAGAGUCUAGAGCAGGAAAGCUCCCAGCUAGAGAAGGACAAGAAGCUUCUGGAGAAGGAGAACAAGCGGCUGAGGCAGCAGGCCGAGAUCCGCGACGCCAAACUGGAGGACGACAACCAGCGGAUCACCUCAUUGGAGAAAGAGAAUCGGACCAUGGGCAAGGAGAUGAUCUUCUUCAGGGACUCCUGCACAAGAGUCAAAGACCUGGAGAGAGAGAACAAGGAGCUGGUCAAACUGGGGUCCAUAGAUAAGAAGACCCUCAUUGCACUUAGAGAGGAGCUUGUGAGUGAGAAGCUGCGGACUCAGCAAAUGAAUAACGAUUUGGAGAAACUGACCCAUGAGUUGGAGAAGAUCGGACUGAACAAGGAAAGGCUGCUGCAUGACGAGAGCUCCGACGACAGGUUUAGGCUCCUGGAAACUAAACUGGAGUCGACUCUAAAAUCAUCUUUGGAGAUUAAAGAGGAGAAGAUCGCCGCCCUGGAGGCCAGACUGCAGGAGUCCUCCAACCUAAACCAGCAACUUCGUCAGGAGCUCAAGACAGUGAAGAAAAACUAUGAGGCGCUGCGUCAGAGGGAGGAGGAGGAGAGGAUGGUGCAGAGCUCGCCUCCUAGAGGAGCGGAGGACCCUCAGGCUGUCAAUAAAUGGGAGAAAGAGAGUCAUGAAGCCACCAGAGAACUGCUGAAAGUCAAAGACAGACUCAUCGAGGUGGAGAGGAAUAAUGCCACCCUGCAGGCUGAGAAGGCAGCCCUGAGGAGCCAGCUCAAACAGCUGGAAACCCAAAGCUCCAACCUGCAGGCUCAGAUAGUGGCCGUGCAGAGACAGACUGCCUCUUUACAGGAGAACAAUACGACACUACAGACACAGAACGCCAAGCUGCAGGUCGAGAACUCCACGCUGAGCUCAAAGAGUGCAGCCCUCAUGGCCCAGAACGCCCAGCUACAGAGCCAGCAGAGCAGCGUGGAGGGUGAGCGGGAAGGAGCUCUGAGGGAGAAAGAGGAGGUGAGGUCCACCUAUGAGCUGCUCCUCCGCGAUCACGAGAAGCUGGCGGCGCUCCAUGAGAGGCAGGCGGCCGAGUAUGAAGCCCUGAUCGGAAAGCAUGGGGGCCUGAAGAGCAACCACAAGAGCCUGGAGCAGCAGCACAGGGACCUGGAGGACAAGUACAAGCAGCUCCUGCAGAGGAAGGGAGAGCUGGAGGAUCUGGAAAAAAAUCUGAAGGAACAGCAGGAAAAAAUGGCUCUGGAGAAUCAAACGCACCAAGCCACAGCUGACCAGUAUAAACUUCUCAAAGAAGAACAUGAUAGGCUGAAUAAUACCCAUCGUCAACUGGUGAAGGACAAUGACAACCUCCAGGUGGAUCAUAAGAACGUAAAGACCCAGCUGAACAGCGCCAAGCUGGACCAGACCAAACUGGAGGCUGAAUUCUCUAAACUGAAGGAGCAGUACCAGCAGCUGGACAUCACCUCCACCAAACUAACCAACCAGUGUGAAUUGUUGAGCCAGCUGAAAGGAAACCUGGAGGAGGAGAAUCGCCACCUGUUGGACCAGAUCCAGACUCUGAUGCUACAGAAUCGCACGCUACUGGAGCAGACCAUGGAGAGCAAGGACCUGUUCCACGUAGAGCAAAGACAAUACAUAGACAAGCUGAACGAGCUGAGGAGACAAAAAGAGAAGCUGGAGGAGAAGAUCAUGGACCAGUACAAGUUCUACGACCCCUCACCUCCACGCAGGCGUGGCAACUGGAUCACUUUGAAGAUGAGGAAGCUGAUCAAACCGAAGAGCCGGGAGAGGAUGCGCUCUCUCACUCUGACUCCCUCUCUCUCUGGUGAUGGUUUCAUGACUUUUCCCCAUGACAGCCAGGACAGCUCGUCCAUAGGCUCUGGCUCCAACUCGCUGGACGACACACUUACACAAAAGAGGAGCAGCAGGAGGAGAGGGCAGCAGUCCCAUGCCCAAGGGCAGGGGUCGUCCAAUGCUAUAAAAAGGUUGCCUUUCAUGAGGAACAGAUCCAAGGACAAAGACAAGGCCAAGGCCAUCUACCGGCGAUCCAUGUCCAUGAAUGACCUACUGCAGACAAUGGCGGUGGCGGGCGGUCCCGGGGCUCAGUGGGCGAGCAGCAUCGAGAACCUAGACGGGGCUGAAGCCGGAGACGCUGGCGUGACGGGGAGCAGCAGGCGCAGCGGGCAGCGCAUGAAGGAGCUCGCCUUUUCCACCAACGCCAUCGACUGUGCCGCCCUCACCCUGCCCAGUGCAGGGCACAGCAGGGCCAAGCUCCGGCUGCAGGUCAAAGAUAAUGCCUCCUGUGAGGAUGUUACCGGCUCCUUAGAUGACCCCAAGAGUCAAGCCUCCAGACCCACCAGUCUCCACAGUAACAGGACCACCAGUAGUAAUAGUAACAAUAACUCCCAUCUCACUUCUCCUCUGGAGGGCAAAGGUACGUUGAACGGCAGCCUCAGCAGGCCUCACAGUGAGAGCAGCGGAGAGUUCAGCCUGAGUCUGGACCAGGAGGUGUGGUCCAGUAGCGGCAGCAGCCCCGUCCAGCAGCCCACCUCCUCACGCUCCUCCCACCAGAGCCCCCUGCAGCUGCGCAGGUCGCUUGACCCGUCCACCGCCGUGGGCAGCCCCGGGCAGACGCAGGUCAGGAAGACGGGAUCCCCAGCCACCGAGGUGCUCUCCCUGCAGCAGUUCCUGGAUGAGGGUAUUGAUCCAGCCGAGUCUGGCAGUCAGGAGAACCUCACAGUCGACUCUCCUCGCCUCUCCACUUCUUCUGAGCACGCUCCGAAAGAACGCACUUCCACCAAGGCCCGAGGUAUAUUACGCUCAUCCAGUGGGAAAGCGGCGCCCGUCAGCUCCGAUCGACCACCGAGAUCUGCCGGACAACCGGGUCGCCCCACCCUGCGUAAGGCGGAGAGCACCCGUGUGAGAGGCUCCGUCCCGCUCCGCUCCAGCCUGUCAUCGCAGGGCAAAGCCACGUCCGUGUCCGAGCGCCUGGACUCGGCCUCCUCCACGCUGCCCCGCGCCAGCAGCGUCAUCUCCACCGCCGAGGGCACCACGCGGCGCACCAGCAUCCACGACCUGCUCUCCAAGGACAGCCGCCAGCCCGUGUCCGUCGAUGCAUCUCCUCCCGUCGCCUCCACCAAGGCUGGGGUUCGCUCCCAGCCUACACCCAAUGUGGAGGGCAGAAAGUCUAAAAGCAGGAGCGGGGAGCCGCAGCAAAGCUGCUAAACCCCGCCCCCACCACCCUCGUCUGUCUGCUACCAUGCUGUGAGCGCGUGAGAGAAAGGUGGCCUUGGAGCUGUGUGUCUGAAGCCUAAGUAGAGUUAAUCUGCUGAGACCGUCUACAGUGAGAAAAGAUUGUAUAUCCCCAGUUUCCUGUUUCUUCCCUUUUUUGUUCACUUCAGUAGAGAAAAGUGGCUUCCUUCUCUGUUUUGUUUUUUCUUCCUUGAAUCAAGGAAACCGAAAAAUAGAAAAAUGUUGCAGUGACAGUUUUUUUUUUUUUUUGCUAUUAAGACUAAAGCUGUGGCAGAUUGCACUGCCACGUGUCCUUCAGUGUGACGGACUGCUUGAUGUGCACUAGUCUCUACGGACUAAGAUUAAGUGCCAAUGUUCACACAACAGCCAAAAGGGCAAUCUUAAAAACAGAUUUUGGAUCUUCUGUGCAACUUCAAAGUCAGCCGGACCUUUUUCUGCCCGACGCCAUCACCACAAAGUCUUUUCUUUAAAUGGGCAGCAUGGACAAGCAUCCAGUCAGGCUCGUACAGAACAUUUUCAAAGCAUGUCAGCACCAAAUCCUCUCCGACUCAACCUGCUAUCGGACUGAGAAAUCACAAUCUGCAUGGAGCAAUCAAUCAGCCAAUCACCCCACUCUUCCUUUGUGCAAUCAAAGAAGGAGGACACGUUCAGUGGGGACUUUACUCGCCAGGAUGCCAAAUGGACGGAAAGCCAUGACAGCUGUGUGAUCGGCGUCUGUCGCCUGCCAAUCACGAGUGAAGAUUGUGUGAUUUGAGAGAGAGAGUGUGAUCACGGGAGUGUUCCAGGUCACCUAUAUAACAGUUGGCAGCCGCUGACGCCCUGAAACAAACCCGACACACUUAGCUUAAACCAUUUAUCAUCGUUGAAAUAAAACUAAAUCAUCUCAUUAACUGCUUCCCAUCCUGGUCUGAAAAGGAAAAACAGUAAAAGCACACUUACACUUCGCUUCAUCCCUUCAGUCUCGUGUAUCUGCGUCCUGAGAAGGCGCUCCGUAUAGGUGACCUGUGACCUGCCCAUUACGUGCAGAUUUCUGUUGCUGUGUUGAACAUGAUGGUGAUGAUGAGACCCAGUGUUUUCCUCCUUUUCCACUUUUACAUAAAUCCAUUUGAUGUAAUUAAAAUUCAUCAAGACUA